UUCUUAUCAAGAGCGACCGAGGGACUGGCCCUGUGACGUCGCGGCAACCAGCUUGGAAAAGCAAGGUGCCAAAUCCAGCGAAACCUUCACCGGUUUCGACAGAUAAGGA
rnacentral:ncRNA from 2 species